GGGGGUUCGAGUUACAACUCCAACCCUUUGUGAUCUUACCACUGUUUCCUCGGCGUGGUCGCCGGCCUUAGCGGUCGACGCCCGCCGAAGGGCCACUAAACUCUUUGUUUCUUGAGUUAUAUCUGAAUGCUUCAAAACAAAUAAGUUAAAACUUUCAACAACGGAUCUCUUGGUUCUGGCAUCGAUGAAGAACGCAGCGAAAUGCGAUAAGUAAUGUGAAUUGCAGAAUUCAGUGAAUCAUCGAAUCUUUGAACGCACAUUGCGCCCAUUAGUAUUCUAGUGGGCAUGCCUAUUCGAGCGUCAUUUCAACCCUUAAGCCCUGUAGCUUAGCGUUGGGAGCCUGCCCUUUCGGGGCGCAGCUCCCUAAGAUUAGUGGCGGAGUUAGGGCACACUCUGAGCGUAGUAAUAUUAUUCUCGCUUCUGUGGUGGCUCUGGCGACCUGCCGUAAAACCCCCUAUAACUCUAGUGGUUGACCUCGGAUUAGGUAGGAAUACCCGCUGAACUUAAGCAUAUCAAUAAGCGGAGGAAA
rnacentral:rRNA from 1 species